GAUCCUGGCUCAGAUUGAACGCUGGCGGCAUGCUUUACACAUGCAAGUCGAACGGUAACAGGGUGCUUGCACCGCUGACGAGUGGCGAACGGGUGAGUAAUGCGUCGGAAUGUACCGUGUAAUGGGGGAUAGCUCGGCGAAAGCCGGAUUAAUACCGCAUACGCCCUGAGGGGGAAAGCGGGGGAUCGAAAGACCUCGCGUUAUACGAGCAGCCGACGUCUGAUUAGCUAGUUGGUGAGGUAAGAGCUCACCAAGGCGACGAUCAGUAGCGGGUCUGAGAGGAUGAUCCGCCACACUGGGACUGAGACACGGCCCAGACUCCUACGGGAGGCAGCAGUGGGGAAUUUUGGACAAUGGGGGCAACCCUGAUCCAGCCAUGCCGCGUGUCUGAAGAAGGCCUUCGGGUUGUAAAGGACUUUUGUCAGGGAGGAAAUCCCGCUGGUUAAUACCCGGCGGGAGAUGACAGUACCUGAAGAAUAAGCACCGGCUAACUACGUGCCAGCAGCCGCGGUAAUA
rnacentral:rRNA from 1 species